UCUGUAUCCAGAAUAGGUUAAGUAAGACUUAUCUUAUGUAGGUACUUGCAUUCCACCAUGGAAGGGACAUUUUAAAAGGAAAAAAAAACACAACACAUUUAUUAAACAAUUGAGUCGAUAUACCCCCAAUGAAAACGUGCAUGCAUUAAAUUAUCCAUUUUUUAAUUGGUGUUAUAUCUAAAGACAGCUUGUAAAAAAUGUAGAUCUCUUUUCUGGAGUCUUUGCAAGCCCUUCUAUCUCCGCCCAGACUUUCUGUGGUUGUCCAAUCGCAGACUUCCCAAUGCAGCUCAAUGAGAAAUAUAGGAUGAGUCCUUGUAACGGAUCGCCUGGCACCCCGACUGGGUACCUCCGUUGAAAGAUGCUCCUAGCACUUCCUGAGGACUCCAAGCACUGCAGCAGACACCACAACCACCGAACCGGAGAAGCAUAUGAAUCCUCUCAAGCAUA